rnacentral:rRNA from 1 species
CCUACGGGAGGCAGCAGUAGGGAAUAUUGCUCAAUGGGGGAAACCCUGAAGCAGCAACGCCGCGUGGAGGAUGAAGGUUUUCGGAUUGUAAACUCCUUUUGUUAGAGAAGAUAAUGACGGUAUCUAACGAAUAAGCACCGGCUAACUCCGUGCCAGCAGCCGCGGUAAUACGGAGGGUGCAAGCGUUACUCGGAAUCACUGGGCGUAAAGAGCGCGUAGGCGGGAUAGCAAGUCAGAUGUGAAAUCCUAUGGCGUAACCAUAAGAAUUGAUUUGAAACUUUUAUUCUAGUGUAUUGGAGAGGUAGGUGGAAAUCCUGGUGUAAGGGGUAAAUCCGUAGAGAUCAAGAGGAAUACUCAUUGCGAAGGCGACCUGCUAGAACAUAACUGACGCUGAUGCGCGAAAGCGUGGGGAGCAAACAGGAUUAGAUACCCUUGUAGUC